ensembl:rRNA 5S_rRNA 5S ribosomal RNA
UGUGACUACACCAUGUUGAACACACCUGAUCUUGUCUGAUCUCAGAAGCUAAGCAGGGUCAAGCCUGAUUAGUGAUUGGAUGGGAGACUACCAAACACUGAAAGAGUUAAUACCU